AGGAGUUGAAUAGAGGUCUUAAAAGGAGCAAGUCUAACUUUUUGCUCUUCAGUUCACCUGGCAGAUCUGCUAUGAGGUGCUGUGUGUCCUGGCUGAUGAGUGCACCAGCUCCUGGAGGCAGGGAGCCCCGUGGACCCCAAUUCCCAGAAAUGGAGAAGACAAAUGAUGGAAAAAGUUUUGAGAGAGUCUUGGUUAGCAGCUGGGCCCUAAAACAGGCUGUAAUUUGGAAGGCUGGUCUGUACAUCCAUGACAAGAGCAAACAGCCAAGGUGGGGGAAAAGCUUGCAAGCUGAAAAACCAAGUAGAGCAGGCCUCUCAAACUUGAAGAAGGUACAAAGCAUGCACGUGAAGUGGACAGCACUGAUUUAUUGAGGAGAAAGAGGAAGAAUGUUGCAGGGCAUCAAGAUGAGGUUUCAGAUGCCUGAGGCUCUGCAGGAACCAAGAUAACAGUAAAAAACAGCCUAGCAGAGAUGACCAUCUCUGCAGACUCCACUGGCACCGAAAAUUAAAAAUCAGCUCCAAACAAGAAAGAAAAAGCCCAGCAACAAACAAAAAACCAAACAACUGCUGCAAAGAAAUCAAACUUCUUCCUGUGAAAUGCUUCUUGGCCGUGCAGGGCUUCUGCUGUGAGAACAAAGUUCCUCCAUGAAGAAGGGUGCAGAGCCUGGUUUGCUCAGAGCCGUUUCCCUCAUCAUCUGAACAAAAGGACAGGGAGGGAAUGUUGGAGGAGAAGAGCUGGAAAGGCGUCGACGAAGCAGCUUUUGACAGGGGGUGUGUGGCUCCCCCCCGGAGCGGCGAUGGGGAGCGGUGCUGCCGCCUCCCUCUGCUGCUGGGCUCGGGGCUGCCCGGCGUGUCCCUGCUCUCUCUGGUGCUCAGCCUCCUGCUGUACUUUCGCACCUCCGAGCUGCAGUCCCGCGUGUCCCACUUGGAAGCAGACAGACCCACACAGCUCCCUGCCUGGCUCUCGGCAGACCAAAUGGAGACGGCUAUUUUGGGAAGAGUUGACCAACUGCUCAAUGAGAAGUUAAAGUUCCACUUGCCAAGACAUCGAGAAGUUCGGGACACACACCAGCGAUGCAACUGCCCGGCAGGU